GACGAACGCUGGCGGCGUGCUUAACACAUGCAAGUCGAACGGAAAGGCCUGCUUUCCCUUGUGGAUUGCGGGUACUCGAGUGGCGAACGGGUGAGUAACACGUGAGUGAUCUGCCCCCAACUUGGGUAUAAGCCUGGGAAACUGGGUCUAAUUCACGAUAGGACUGCAGGGUGGUGCGUGUGGUGGAAAACGAUUUUCUAGUGGUUGCGGAUGAGCACGCGGCCUAUCAGCUUGUGGGUGGGGUAAUGGCCGACCAAGGCGGCGACGGGUAGCCGGCCGGGGGGGAGGGAGCGUCACAGUGGGACUGAGAUCCGGCCCAGAGUCCUACGGGCGGCAGCCGUGGGGGAGGCAGCAGUGUGGGCGGAAGCCUGAUGCAGCGACGCUGCGUGGGGGAUGUCGUCCUUCGGGUUGUAAGCUCCUCUCGACGUAGAGGAAUCCACCUGGGUGGGAGGGUGGUGACGGUAGUGGUAGAAGAAGCACCGGCUAACUACGUG
rnacentral:rRNA from 1 species